rnacentral:rRNA from 1 species
UACAGAGGUCUCAAGCGUUGUUCGGAUUCAUUGGGCGUAAAGGGUGCGUAGGCGGCGGGGCAAGUCGGAUGUGAAAUCUCAGGGCUCAACCCUGAAACUGCAUUCGAUACUGCUCUGCUCGAGGACUGGAGAGGAGAUUGGAAUUCACGGUGUAGCAGUGAAAUGCGUAGAUAUCGUGAGGAAGACCGGUGGCGAAGGCGGGUCUCUGGGCAGUAACUGACGCUGAGGAGCGAAAGCGUGGGGAGCGAACAGG